rnacentral:rRNA from 1 species
AUUGAACGCUGGCGGAAUGCUUUACACAUGCAAGUCGAACGGCAGCACGGACUUCGGUCUGGUGGCGAGUGGCGAACGGGUGAGUAAUGUAUCGGAACGUGCCCAGUCGUGGGGGAUAACGUAGUGAAAAUUACGCUAAUACCGCAUACGAUCUAUGGAUGAAAGCGGGGGAUCGCAAGACCUCGCGCGAUUGGAGCGGCCGAUAUCAGAUUAGGUAGUUGGUGGGGUAAAGGCCCACCAAGCCAACGAUCUGUAGCUGGUCUGAGAGGACGACCAGCCACACUGGAACUGAGACACGGUCCAGACUCCGACGGGAGGCAGCAGUAGGGAAUUUUGGACAAUGGGCGAAAGCCUGAUCCAGCCAUUCCGCGUGCAGGAUGAAGGCCCUCGGGUUGUAAACUGCUUUUGUACAGAACGAAAAGGUUUCUACUAAUACUAGGAGCUCAUGACGGUACUGUAAGAAUAAGCACCGGCUAACUACGUGCCAGCCGCCACGGUAA